rnacentral:sRNA from 1 species
CGGCCGCGUCGACAACUCCAUGUGUAGCGGUGGAAUGCGUAGAUAUAUGGAAGAACACCAGUGGCGAAGGCGCUCUGCUGGACCAUAACUGACACUCAGGGACGAAAGCUAGGGGAGCGAAUGGGAUUAGAUACCCCAGUAGUCCUAGCCGUAAACGAUGGAUACUAGGUGUUGUCUGUAUCGACCCGGACAGUGCCGUAGCUAACGCGUUAAGUACUCCCGCCGUGGGGAGUACGCACGCAAGUGUAGAAACUACAAAGGAAUUGACGGGGGCCCGCACAAGCGGUGGAGUAUGUGGUUUAAUUCGAUGCGUCGACGCGGCCG